AUCAAGGUUUUUUUUUUUUUUUUAGCCUUCGCAAUAUUUCUGCUGGACAGUAAGAGUUUUAUGGUUGUGAAGUUUUGUGGCGCACACUCAAAACUUCCUUAAAGCGCCACUGUCAUGGCUGCAUGCUUUUUUUAACCCCUCUCCCAACUAAUAGCCACCCUGGUCGUACCCAAAUCCCCUUAAGCACCCCAUAUUACCUAUAUUUAAAGCUUAUUUUGUGCCAGGACCUAGGUUGUGGGCGCCGCCAUCUUUGUGUGGGUAGAUGAAGUCCCUGUGGGACAUGUCAUCUGCCCACACUAGAUCGCAC